AUGAACCAGGAGUUUGCACAGUUCCUUGUCUCAAACGGCAUUAAACAUCAAACUACUUGUGUUAACACUCCAGAACAAAAUGGUGUUGCAGAGCGUAAAAAUAGACAUUUGCUUGAGGUUGCACGCUCACUUAUGUUCACAAUGAACGUGCCUAAAUUUCUUUGGGGGGAAGCAACAAAAACUGCAACAUAUUUGAUAAACUGUAUGCCUCUUCGGGUUCUUGGCCAUAAGACUCCUGCUGAGUGUCUCUUGAAAUCUAGUGAUUUUGUAGUUCCUCCUAAGGUCUUUGGGUGUGUUUGCUUUGUGCAUGAUUAUAGGAACUCUGUUGGAAAAUUAGAUCCCCGUGCUCUCAAAUGUGUUUUCAUGGGUUAUUCUCCCUCUCAAAAGGGUUAUAGGUGUUGGUGCCCUUCGGAGCACCGGUUUUUUGUGAGCAUGGAUGUGACAUUCCGUGAACAUGAAUCAUAUUAUGGCACAACCAAUUACACUGGCAUUGCCCUAUCCCCACCUGAAGUGCAACAAGAAGGGGAGAGGGGUAAUGAAGGCUCUCCAUUAAGCCCUAUUCUUGUUUCCACUUCGGAUGUUUUACCCACUCUAGAUAAUGUUCAAAAUCAGGGGGAGGACCCAAAUAGUGAUGGGUGUAAUCAUGGUUUUGGUCAUGGAGAUAUACAAGAUGCAACAGAAAACUCUUCACUUCCUUCACAAGAUGGUGAGCUUCACAGGCAUGAGGACCCAGGUACUAACAAUAACCCCUCUAGUCCCGUCACUCCUAUUAGCACCACAAGGCAGAGUGAUAACCAAUUAUCUAUCCUUGCUCCUGAAAAUGAUCUACCUAUUGUUGUAAGGAAACCUACUAGAAAUCGAAACAUUCCAAGACACCUCAAAGAUUUUAAACAUGAUAUAGCCAAUUUCAUUUCCUACGAAUACUGCACUCCACCCUUCAAAAGCUUUAUUGCAUCUUUAGAUCCUGUCUCCAUACCAUCAAACUGGAAAAUAGCUAUAGAGGACCCAAAUUGGAAGGAAACAAUGCUUGAUGAGAUGAAAGCCUUGGAGAAGAAUGAGACUUGGUAG
rnacentral:rRNA from 1 species